AUUGAACGCUGGCGGCAGGCCUAACACAUGCAAGUCGAACGAGUGGCAGACGGGUGAGUAAUGUCUGGGAAACUGCCCGAUGGAGGGGGAUACCUACUGGAAACGGUAGCUAAUACCGCAUACCAUCAGAUGUGCCCAGAUGGGAUUGGCUGGUAGGUGGGGUAACGGCUCACCUAGGCGACGAUCCCUAGCUGGUCUGAGAGGAUGACCGGCCACACUGGAACUGAGACACGGUACAGACUCCUACGGGAGGCAGCAGUGGGGAAUAUUGCAAAAUGGGCGCAAGCCUGAUGCAGCCAUGCCGCGUGUAUGAAGAAGGCCUUCGGGUUGUAAAGUACUUUCAGCGAGGAGGCGUUACUCGCAGAAGAAGCACCGGCUAACUCCGUGCCAGCAGCCGCGGUAAUUC
rnacentral:rRNA from 1 species